UACGAAGGGGGCUAGCGUUGUUCGGAAUUACUGGGUGUAAAGGGCGCGUAGGCGGCCUGUUAAGUCGAACGUGAAAUCCCCGGGCUCAACCCGGGAACUGCGUCCGAUACUGGCAGGCUUGAAUUCGGGAGAGGGAUGCGGAAUUCCAGGUGUAGCGGUGAAAUGCGUAGAUAUCUGGAGGAACACCGGUGGCGAAGGCGGCAUCCUGGACCGAGAUUGACGCUGAUGCGCGAAAGCCAGGGGAGCAAACGGG
rnacentral:rRNA from 1 species